GGGGAUUUAGCUCAGUGGUAGAGCGCUUGCCUAGCAAGCACAAGGCCCUGGGUUCGGUCCCAAGCUCCG
rfam:Rattus norvegicus chromosome 1, whole genome shotgun sequence.